UAUUAAGGAAGUCAGCCUAAACGCGCCGCGUCCUGCGGCAACGGCUGACUAACCCGCAUCCUGCGAG
rnacentral:sRNA from 1 species